rnacentral:tRNA from 1 species
GAGAUUUUGUCUUAAUUAAAGUAUUUGAGUUGCAUUCAAAAGAUGAGAGUUAAUAUCUCUCAAGUCUUA